UUCGGUCCUCGGUAGUGGUCUUCGGGUCCGCCGGCCCCGUGCCGGCGCGCAGGUCGUCACCUGCCCGACCCGCGGACCUCGAUCGAAGACCGGC
rfam:Friedmanniella luteola strain DSM 21741 genome assembly, chromosome: I